rnacentral:rRNA from 1 species
CGGGGUGCAGCAGGCGCGAAAACUUUACAAUGCCGGCAACGGCGAUAAGGGAACCUCGAGUGCCAGGUUACAAAUCUGGCUGUCGUGAUGCCUAAAAAGCAUUGCAUAGCAAGGGCCGGGCAAGACCGGUGCCAGCCGCCGCGGUAACACCGGCGGCUCGAGUGGUAACCGUUAUUAUUGGGUCUAAAGGGUCUGUAGCCGGCCGGGUAAGUCUCUUGGGAAAUCUGGCAGCUUAACUGUCAGGCUUUCAGGAGAUACUGCCUGGCUCGAGGCCGGGAGAGGUGAGAGGUACUUCAGGGGUAGGGGUGAAAUCUUGUAAUCCUUGAAGGACCACCAGUGGCGAAGGCGUCUCACCAGAACGGACCUGACGGCAAGGGACGAAAGCUAGGGGCACGAACCGGAUUAGAUACCCGGGUAGUCCUAGCCGUAAACGAUACUCGCUAGGUGUCGGCCACGGUGCGACCGUGGUCGGUGCCGUAGGGAAGCCGUGAAGCGAGCCACCUGGGAAGUACGGCCGCAAGGCUGAAACUUAAAGGAAUUGGCGGGGGAGCACA